rnacentral:rRNA from 1 species
CGGGGGGAGCAAGCGUUGUUCGGAUUUACUGGGCGUAAAGGGCGUGUAGGCGGCCACCGCAAGUCGACUGUGAAAUCCCCGGGCUUAACUCGGAAAGGUCAGCCGAUACUGCGGGGCUAGAGUGCAGAAGGGGCAACUGGAAUUCUCGGUGUAGCGGUGAAAUGCGUAGAUAUCGAGAGGAACACCUGCGGCGGAGGCGGGUUGCUGGGCUGACACUGACGCUGAAACGCGAAAGCUAGGGGAGCGAACGGGAUUAGAUACCCCGGUAGUCCUAGCCUUAAACGAUGAAUGCUUGGUGUCUGGGGUUUUAUAGUCCCCGGGUGCCGUCGCUAACGCUUUAAGCAUUCCGCCUGGGGAGUACGGUCGCAAGACUG